rnacentral:rRNA from 1 species
CCUUUAUGGAGAGUUUGAUCCUGGCUCAGGACGAACGCUGGCGGCGUGCCUAAUACAUGCAAGUCGAGCGGAUCUCUGAUGGAGCUUGCUCCUGAUGAGAUUAGCGGCGGACGGGUGAGUAACACGUAGGCAACCUGCCCUAAAGACCGGGAUAACAUUCGGAAACGAAUGCUAAGACCGGAUAGGCAACUUAGUCGCAUGACUUGGUUGAGAAACACGGUGCAAGCUGUGGCUUUGGGAUGGGCCUGCGGCGCAUUAGCUAGUUGGUGGGGUAACGGCUCACCAAGGCGACGAUGCGUAG